UCCACCUUAGCUCAGUUUGGUAGAGCGCCCGGCUGUUAACCGGGAGCGCGCGGGUUCGAGGCCAGCAGGUGGAGCCA
rnacentral:tRNA from 1 species